rnacentral:lncRNA from 1 species
CUGAAUUAUAAUAAAUUGAGGAUAAAAUGGCGAAAUUUUUAUAAACUCGAUAAACCUAUGCACCAUCAACCAAACGAAAAUAUGGAGAAAUUCAAUAAUGUCUCAUAAUCGAGAAUUUAGUAAACUUCUAGUGACGAAAUCCCCAAUUGAUUGUCAUACAAGUGUCCAUAUCAUAAAUCAAAUUUGAAGGAAAACAAAAUAAUAGGAGUUACUAUUUAAUCAGAGAUAUGAAGAGAAAGAGGAGUACAAAAAUUGGCUCAUCCAUGGCCAAUUUGUUAUGCAAAUUUCAAUCAAAUUUUCGGCACAGCGGAGAAACUGGGACAAAUUGUUUAGCAAAGAGGCAACAAAAGCACAAGUUGAUCUAACACAAAACACAAUAAGACACGUACUAAUACAGAAUUUUGCAAAUUUCAUGCCCUCAUAGGAACAUGCAGAUUAAGAUUUAAAGAAAAUAGAGAUCACAUAAUAAUGUCUAUGAAGUUUCUCUUUCAAGAUCCGUCAAGUACAUGCUCGUACUUGAUUUAUCUCAAAUUUUCAAGGCCUCGCAGGAGCCUUUAGACAAAGAUUAGUCUCAAGGAGGCACGCAUGUAUGGUAAAUCAAGGGAAAAACUAGAAACCCUAAUUUCUGAAAAAUAGGAUUUACUAAAAAUUAAAAGAUCUCACCCAACAAGUUUGAAAAAAAAAUCGAUUUCGUUCAAAUCUACUUGACAGCAAUUCCAAAAAUUUAGAUCCAGUACAGAUCGAAAACUUUCUCCAAGAUCCAGGUAUCUUGCUCCUCAAAAAAGGCUCCGAUACCAUUGUAGGACCAAAGAUCACACAAUAUCAUUGUUUGAGUCGCAAAGAUAAACGAUUUGCAAAAAGUAAAAGUGCAGAAAAUUAAAGAAUAAACACAAAGAAUUAUUUCAACCCAAGCCUCGGAGGUUCGGCGCCAUAUCUAACGUCUACAUCCCAUUUGAGCAUCCAAUAAUAUGGAUUAUGCUCGGUUGCACUAGAUCGUCCAAAUUGGCAACAAAAAGACAGAAGUUUAACCCAAUACAAAAGAGAUAAAGAACAAAACACUUAUCUCUCUGAAAAUCCCAGAAGAGAAAAUCUAAUCAAUCAACUCCACCAGAACUCUUGUUCUCACAAAUAUUAACUUAGAAUAUCACACAUUAGGGAAAACAUCACACAAAUUACAGAUCUCAAAUCAAAAAUUUGAGAAACAAGAAGAAAACCAUAAUGAACUCAAGAGAUAUUUUUCUCUCAGAACCAAGAGUCUCAAAAACCAAACGAAAAGUUGAG